rnacentral:rRNA from 1 species
UACGUAGGGCGCAAGCGUUAUCCGGAAUUAUUGGGCGUAAAGGGCGCGUAGGCGGCCAGCACAAGUCAGUUGUGAAAUCUCCGAGCUUAACUCGGAAAGGUCAACUGAUACUGUGCGGCUAGAGUGCGGAAGGGGCAACUGGAAUUCUUGGUGUAGCGGUGAAAUGCGUAGAUAUCAAGAGGAACACCUGCGGCGAAGGCGGGUUGCUGGGCCGACACUGACGCUGAGGCGCGAAAGCCAGGGGAGCGAACGGG